AACAAGGGCAACUUAAACCUAAGUAUUUCAUUUUUCACGCAAAGAACAGCAGCCUUCAAUUCCCUUCCGUACGACUCACGUUUCCUUCAAUUCUCUCGUCCACACUCAAACUCCGGCCACCAUCACCGCGCACCAUCACCGUGCACCAUCACCACCGACGUUCGACCCUUCUUCUUUACCGGCCUCCAACCACCGGCGCGGCGCAGUGCUUCCUCACCGUCGUUCAAACUUCUCUGGUUUUGCAUCCCCUUCUCCUUGCUUUUCUGGUUUCGCAUACCUUGAAGAUACUCAGAUAGGUAUGUUAUAUCUUGUUUUUUUUUGUCAGUUUGGUAUCUUUCUUUGAUGUUAAUUCGUGUAUCAUUGGCUAAAAAAAAUAAAAAAUCGGAAUUUCUAUCCGACAGUUGAUUUGUACUGUCGGGUCCUGUAACCGGAAUUCAGUUUGUAUUCCCGAAUAUUACCACCGGAAGUCGAAUUCAACUUCCGACUGGUUGUUCCGAUCAGUUACUUGUUGAUUAAUUGUGUUGUUUUGGGAAUUAAAAGUAUUGCCCACCAAGUGUUUGUUGAAAUGACUCUAUUUUUUCAUAGUGUAAUUCUAUUUAAAUCGAUGUUUUCAUUGUUUCUUAGUAUGGGAAAUGGUUAGUUGUUUGAGCUUUUGUUGAGUGUUAGUUGAAUGUAAGUUGCAACAACAAAAACUAAGUAAAUUUAUGCUCAUCUAUGAUAUGUUGUUUAGAAUAUACUUUUACAUGAUACAUAGUUCAGAACCCCACUUAAUUAACCAAUUAGUCAAUCUCGUAGUUAAUAUUUCAAUUUUAUUCUUGAACACCCAGUAUUUAGAAAGUUUUGAUUUUGAAUCAUGUUAGUGCAAUUUACAUUCAGUGUUAUAAUUUGUGGGAAACUAUUCCACCAAAUUUAGUCCUAAAAUAUGUCAUUGUUUGUCAACCCAAACUCCCUGAGCUAGUCUUGUGGAAGGUAUACUCUCCCCUUGAAGCAAUGAAUCGAAGAGAUAAACAUAUCUGAGGAUUUUAGUCAGCUGAUUUAUAUUCAUGAUUCAUCCCUAGUUUGGAGUAAUAAGUAGAAAGUUCACUCUUCUGCUACAUCUCCGAGGAUACAAGUCUCAAUUCCUCAAAGGUGAUAUGCUUAAUAUCUCAAUGAUACAAGUCUUCAUGAGGUAAUUAAUAUAGUUAGUUAUGGUAAUGUAUUUAAUAAGGUAUAUGGUUUGCCAAGUUUCGAUUAUUCUUAUGUUUGCUUGUUCUUUAGGUCUCUUCCGUUCGAUGAUUUUAGUUCAGAUAGUCAUAUUGGGUGGUUGGAUCCACAAUCAAUAAGUGGUGCUAGUUGCAUGAACAAUCGAGCCGAAGUCAGUCAGUAUCUCGAUGACGGUAUCCGUCAAUGCACAAAAGCGAAAAACAAGUUCAUAUUAGCCCCGUACUUUGAAGACCUCCAUUGGAUGCUCCUUGUGAUAUGUGUUUCAAGCCACACAAUUUAUCAAUUUGAUUCUUGUCGUCGAGAUCCAUUACGAUCCGUGUUGGUCAAGUCACUAUUGAAUAAAGUGUUGAUGAAAAUGAAUGUCAAAAAAAGCGCACUUCCUUAAUGGAAAUCAGUUAAGUGCGCCCAACAAGAGGGUGGGGUCGAGUGUGGAUAUUACGUGAUGAAAUUCAUGCAUGACAUAUUCAAAAGUUGCAAGGAAGUUCAAGAUCUGGAAAAGGUUUUCAAAUUUCCAAGGGAGGGGCCCUUUACCAAAAAGGAGUUGGAUGAAGGUCGAGACAAGUGGGCUACUUAUUUCAACGAUUGUGAACUACCCUCCGUGUAAUAAAUAGAGAAGGCUUGUAGUUAUUCGUGACUCCUACAUUAUUUUGUUAUUUAUCGAUUUAAUGAAUUACAUUUGAAUUAAUUCGGUAAUAUUAUUGGAAAUUUGAAAUUUAUAUCAUUUUUGAGAA